rnacentral:rRNA from 1 species
GACGAACGCUGGCGGCGUGCUUAACACAUGCAAGUGGAGCGACGAACCGGGGCUUGCCCCGGGGCAGAGCCGCGAACGGGUGAGUAACACGUGGGUAACCCACCCCGAUGACCGGGACAACCCGAGGAAACUCGGGCUAAUACCGGAUGUGCUCCUUGACCUCGAGGUCAAGGCGUAAAGAUAGCUUCGGCCUUCGCAUCGGGACGGGCCCGCGGCCCAUUAGCUUGUUGGUGGGGUAAAGGCCUACCAAGGCGACGAUGGGUAGCUGGUCUGAGAGGACGAUCAGCCACACUGGGACUGAGACACGGCCCAGACUCCUACGGGAGGCAGCAGUGGGGAAUCUUGCGCAAUGCG